UAACGGGGGGAGCAAGCGUUGUUCGGAUUACUGGGCGUAAAGAGCUCGUAGGUGGUUUGUCGCGUUGUCCGUGAAAACUCACAACUCAAUUGAUGGGCGUGCGGGCGAUACGGGCAGACUGGAGUACUGCAGGGGAGACUGGAAUUCCUGGUGUAGCGGUGGAAUGCGCAGAUAUCAGGAGGAACACCGGUGGCGAAGGCGGGUCUCUGGGCAGUAACUGACGCUGAGGAGCGAAAGCGUGGGGAGCGAACAGG
rnacentral:rRNA from 1 species